UUCGGUUGAUCCCGCCGGACCCGACUGCUAUCAGAGUGGGACUAAGCCAUGCGAGUCAACAUAGCAAUAUGUGGCAUACGGCUCAGUAACACGUAGUCAACAUGCCCAGGGGACGUGGAUAACCUCGGGAAACUGAGGAUAAACCGCGAUAGGUCAUCACUUCUGGAAUGGGUAAUGACUUAAAUCUAUAUGGCCCCUGGAUUGGACUGCGGCCGAUCAGGCUGUUGGUGAGGUAAUGGCCCACCAAACCUGUAACCGGUACGGGCUCUGAGAGGAGGAGCCCGGAGAUGGGCACUGAGACAAGGGCCCAGGCCCUAUGGGGCGCAGCAGGCGCGAAACCUCUGCAAUAGGCGAAAGCUUGACAGGGUUACUCUGAGUGAUUUCCGUUAAGGAGAUCUUUUGGCACCUCUAAAAAUGGUGCAGAAUAAGGGGUGGGCAAGUCUGGUGUCAGCCGCCGCGGUAAUACCAGCACCCCGAGUGGUCGGGACGUUUAUUGGGCCUAAAGCAUCCGUAGCCGGUUCUACAAGUCUUCCGUUAAAUCCACCUGCUUAACAGAUGGGCUGCGGAAGAUACUAUAGAGCUAGGAGGCGGGAGAGGCAAGCGGCACUCGAUGGGUAGGGGUAAAAUCCGUUGAUCCAUUGAAGACCACCAGUGGCGAAGGCGGCUUGCCAGAACGCGCUCGACGGUGAGGGAUGAAAGCUGGGGGAGCAAACCGGAUUAGAUACCCGGGUAGUCCCAGCUGUAAACGAUGCAGACUCGGUGAUGAGUUGGCUUAUUGCUAACUCAGUGCCGCAGGGAAGCCGUUAAGUUUGCCGCCUGGGGAGUACGGUCGCAAGACUGAAACUUAAAGGAAUUGGCGGGGGAGCA
rnacentral:rRNA from 1 species